GCUUGCUUGGUGGAUCAGUGGCGAACGGGUGAGUAACACGUGAGCAACCUGCCCUGGACUCUGGGAUAAGCGCUGGAAACGGCGUCUAAUACUGGAUAUGAGACGUGAUCGCAUGGUCGUGUUUGGAAAGAUUUUUCGGUCUGGGAUGGGCUCGCGGCCUAUCAGCUUGUUGGUGAGGUAAUGGCUCACCAAGGCGUCGACGGGUAGCCGGCCUGAGAGGGUGACCGGCCACACUGGGACUGAGACACGGCCCAGACUCCUACGGGAGGCAGCAGUGGGGAAUAUUGCACAAUGGGCGGAAGCCUGAUGCAGCAACGCCGCGUGAGGGAUGACGGCCUUCGGGUUGUAAACCUCUUUUAGCAGGGAAGAAGCGAAAGUGACGGUACCUGCAGAAAAAGCGCCGGCUAACUACGUGCCAGCAGCCGCGGUAAUACGUAGGGCGCAAGCGUUAUCCGGAAUUAUUGGGCGUAAAGAGCUCGUAGGCGGUUUGUCGCGUCUGCUGUGAAAUCCCGAGGCUCAACCUCGGGCCUGCAGUGGGUACGGGCAGACUAGAGUGCGGUAGGGGAGAUUGGAAUUCCUGGUGUAGCGGUGGAAUGCGCAGAUAUCAGGAGGAACACCGAUGGCGAAGGCAGAUCUCUGGGCCGUAACUGACGCUGAGGAGCGAAAGGGUGGGGAGCAAACAGGCUUAGAUACCCUGGUAGUCCACCCCGUAAACGUUGGGAACUAGUUGUGGGGACCAUUCCACGGUUUCCGUGACGCAGCUAACGCAUUAAGUUCCCCGCCUGGGGAGUACGGCCGCAAGGCUAAAACUCAAAGGAAUUGACGGGGACCCGCACAAGCGGCGGAGCAUGCGGAUUAAUUCGAUGCAACGCGAAGAACCUUACCAAGGCUUGACAUAUACGAGAACGGGCCAGAAAUGGUCAACUCUUUGGACACUCGUAAACAGGUGGUGCAUGGUUGUCGUCAGCUCGUGUCGUGAGAUGUUGGGUUAAGUCCCGCAACGAGCGCAACCCUCGUUCUAUGUUGCCAGCACGUAAUGGUGGGAACUCAUGGGAUACUGCCGGGGUCAACUCGGAGGAAGGUGGGGAUGACGUCAAAUCAUCAUGCCCCUUAUGUCUUGGGCUUCACGCAUGCUACAAUGGCCGGUACAAAGGGCUGCAAUACCGUGAGGUGGAGCGAAUCCCAAAAAGCCGGUCCCAGUUCGGAUUGAGGUCUGCAACUCGACCUCAUGAAGUCGGAGUCGCUAGUAAUCGCAGAUCAGCAACGCUGCGGUGAAUACGUUCCCGGGUCUUGUACACACCGCCCGUCAAGUCAUGAAAGUCGGUAACACCUGAAGCCGGUGGCCCAACC
rnacentral:rRNA from 2 species